rnacentral:ncRNA from 1 species
CGGACUGGCAGUCUCUGCGGCUCUCGGGUCGCGGUGGCCCGCCGGGAAGAUGACCGAACUUGACCAUUUAGAGGAAGUAAAAGUCGUAACAAGGUUUUCGUAGGUGAACCUGCGGAAGGAUCAUUA